UACGAAGGGGGCUAGCGUUGCUCGGAAUCACUGGGCGUAAAGCGCACGUAGGCGGGUUCUUAAGUCAGGGGUGAAAUCCCGGAGCUCAACUCCGGAACUGCCUUUGAUACUGGGAAUCUUGAGUCCGGGAGAGGUGAGUGGAACUCCGAGUGUAGAGGUGAAAUUCGUAGAUAUUAGGAAGAACACCAGUGGCGAAGGCGGCUCACUGGCCCGGUACUGACGCUGAUAUGCGAAAGCGUGGGGAGCAAACAGG
rnacentral:rRNA from 1 species